rnacentral:rRNA from 1 species
AGUGAACGCUGGCGGUAGGCCUAACACAUACAAGUCGAACGGCAGCACAGUAAGAGCUUGCUCUUACGGGUGGCGAGUGGCGGACGGGUGAGGAAUACAUCGGAAUCUACUUUUUCGUGGGGGAUAACGUAGGGAAACUUACGCUAAUACCGCAUACGACCUACGGGUGAAAGCAGGGGAUCUUCGGACCUUGCGCGAUUGAAUGAGCCGAUGUCGGAUUAGCUAGUUGGCGGGGUAAAGGCCCACCAAGGCGACGAUCCGUAGCUGGUCUGAGAGGAUGAUCAGCCACACUGGAACUGAGACACGGUCCAGACUCCUACGGGAGGCAGCAGUGGGGAAUAUUGGACAAUGGGCGCAAGCCUGAUCCAGCCAUACCGCGUGGGUGAAGAAGGCCUUCGGGUUGUAAAGCCCUUUUGUUGGGAAAGAAAAGCAGCAGGUUAAUACCCCGCUGUUCUGACGGUACCCAAAGAACAAGCACCGGCUAACUUCGUG